UUCAGGGCUGAAUGUUAAGACUCAGAAAUUUAGCAAGUCCUAGUGUAUUUUUCAACCCUGAGCACUGUUCUACAUCCCUGGAAUUAGAAUAAGGCUGGAUCUUUGAGAUUCUGUGUCUCCCAUUGAUCACAGUUUGCCUCUAGGAGGGAGGCAUUUUUUUCCAUUAUCAGACUGGUCUGGCCAAAUCAAGGUUUUUACUCUAGAAUUUAUUUUUUUUCUUUUCCUGUCAGGUAGGCUGAAUUUAAAGUUAAUUUUUGUCAUUUAAUGACAGGAUGGUAUGUGUGAUUGCUCUGUGGAAGAGAUGGGAAGUGAGAUAGAGCAAGGCUGUGUCUCAGGAGCACUCUCUGAGGAGAGUCUAGACUGUAAUACCAUCUACUAUCAGGCUCUGCGCUGUACUAAGGAAACUCCACAGAAGCCCCAUGCGAGUGGUGCCUAUUGUUUCCAUGAGCAGAGCCUCCUCUCAGACACUAAAGCAGAGUGCAGUUCUGGUGUAGAAACUGAGGACAGAAAAGUAAGUGCCUUGUUUUAAUGUGAUUUUUCAGGCAGCUCUAGUGGCGGGGAUUUUCUCUGGUUGUUGUUCAGGGGUUUUUUUAUUAAACCAUGUGAAAUUAUUUUAUGGUUCUUAGCAUGUGUAAGUGCUCAUGUUGUAUUUUAACUUCAAUGGGGAGAAAUCAGUCUUACUCUAUUGAAUAUACUUGUUAAAAAUUUGAAUAACUGUUUCAGAAGAAGCAGAAGUGAAUUAUAGUACUAAUCUCUUUGUGCUACAAAAAAAAAGUUUACAAGGCAGUUGCACUUCUUAUUCUUAAUUUACAUUGUUAACAAAGUUAUUGUGAGUCUGUUAUGGUAAAGUUGGCAUACCAUGUUAAAUAUUUGUAAGACAGCAAGAUAAUUGCUUUUUCUUGCUUUAAAAGUAGUACCUUUGAAACCUUAUUUUUUUU
rnacentral:lncRNA from 1 species